CUCAGGCAAGUUCAAUUUGUAAGCAGCCGCCCAAGUGAGUGAGUAGGCAAAGCUCCCAACUUUCAUCCUCCUCUCGUCGGAAUUAGGGUUUCUGCCGACGAUUCAGGUGUGUAAAAGCUAUUACUGUCUAUGUCCUUCCACUCCUGAUAAAGGUAAGAGGAAAGAUGGCGGUGGAAGAUUUGUGUCCACCAUCUUCCGAACUCCGCACGGUACCCAAUUCUGAGAGUCCUGAACCAGACGUGGAGCCGAGUUGUUCGCAGAAAAAGAAGAAAAAUAGCGAGAAAAAAAUGUAAACUUGAAAGCAAUGAUAAGAGUUCUGAAAGUCCGUCCCUUGAGUCACAAGUUGCACAACUCUCGGAUCAAGAAGCUCCACAACCAAUUAGAGAGGAAAAUGCCAUAAUUACAGAUUCAGGAAGUCCUCAAUCAAAUGUCGAGCUGAGUCUUUACAAAGAAAAGAGGAAGAAGAAAGGGUAUGAAACUUUUGAGACAAAUGGUACGAAUUGUGAAAGUCCCUCCCUACAGCCUCAAGCGGUACAACUGUCAGAUCAACAAGCACCUCUAAUACUUACAGAUAGAAUUACUACAAUAACAGAUUCAGAGAGUCCCCGAUCAAAUAUGGAGUUGAGUCUUUCACAAAAUAAGAAGAGGAAGAAGCUGUGGAGAUCAAAAGGUAGAAAUCCAACAACCCUCUGAGGCCGUACAGCCUCAACUUGUACGAGUGAUGGAUGAAAAGCUAGAAGUUCCACUACCCAUUGAAGAUUUGAGUUUCUUAGUGCGAAGCAAGAAAAGGAAUAAGAAGACAAGCCGUAAACCCCUUGACUGUAUAGAUGAAGUGUGUGGCAUUUCUGUGUGCUUCUGUUAUGGAAAGUAAUAUCCCAACAGUCGAGCCAUGCAAACAGCCUUCUGUUGAAAUAUCAUUGGAGCAGCUUGUUGCGGAGCCACUUGGUGAGGGUAUCAUUGCAACAACAAACUCCAAGAGUCCCAAACCCAAUGCAGAUUUUGGCUGCUCACUAGAAACGAAGAAAAAGAAACGGAAGAAAAUCCAUGAGGAUAAAGAGCUAUCAGUGGAAACAAUGAUGCCAGAAGAUCCCCCUUUUCAUUGUUCUCUCGCUAUGGUCUCGGAACAAGAACCAGAUGUGUCAGAACCACUUAAUGCAGAUUUUAACUCAGAAAGUCCCAGUCCAAAUGCAGAAUUUAACUGCUCACAAAAAACAACGAAGAAAAAGCAAAAGAGACGGAGCAAAAGCAGUGACAGUAAAGAGCUAUUACCAGAAGCGAUGACACUGGAAGCAGAUCCAUCUCUUCGUCCUACUCUUUCUAAAAAAGAGCUAGAGGUGCCACAGCCGCUUAAUACUGGUGCAGAGCCACUCGUGGAGGGAAUGAGCACAAUGAUGGACUCAGAAAGACCAAUGCCCAAUGCAGAUUUUAGCAGCCCACAAGAAACAAAGAAGAGAAAUAGAAAGAGAAAGCGCAAAGCCAGAGAAACUAAUGAGCUGACAGCGGAAGCAGAUCCAUCUGUUCAGCCUUCCUUGUCACAUUUGUCUCUAAAAGCUGAUACUGAAGUAGUUGCCAUCAGUGGACAGGGCAUUUUGCAAAUGUCAACCUCUUCGCCUGAAAGAUCUCUUCUCAACUGUUCUAAGAAGAAGCUUCUCAUUCUCGAUAUCAAUGGGAUGCUAGCUGAUAUUGUCCAGAUGGAAGCUUGGAUCCCCAAGGGUUUUAAGCCAGACAAAAUAAUAUCACGGAAAAAAGAACCAAUCGCACUGCACUUCUACCAAGUUUAAGACGGUGGAGAACAAGAAAAAGCCCCUUGUUUUGAAAGAGAUUAGAAAUUUGUGGGAAAAGUUUGAGCCUGAUCUUCCUUGGGCAAGAGGAGAGUACAACAUAGUAUUAGUGGAUGACUCUCCAUAUAAGGCUUUGCGCAAUCCGGUGAAGAUCGCCAUAUUCCCCUUCUCAUAUCAAUUCAGGAACAAAAAAGAUCAUUCAUCAGGACCUGGAGGCGAUAUCCGUACUUACCUGGAAGGGUUAGCUAGGGCUGAAAAUGCUCAAAAGUAUGUGGAACAGAAUCCAGGAAUCCAUAACAAACUCAAAUCCUUCGUGGUACCUCUAUAGGAGAGUCAUCUAUGACUAAGAUGACUCCUGAGUUUGACUUCGCUCUUUUUGUGCCUUCGACCCACUAAUCUUUUGCAGUUCCAUACCAUACGUAAGUUUUCACUUUAACAUGUACUGUUGCAACCUUUUAUUGUUGUCUCAGUUUUGCUUAAAUGAGAUGUACCAAGCAUAUUGCUUGUAGAAGAGAGCGUCUAUUAGGCUAGAUCAGAAAUUUGAUUCCUAGAGUUUUAGUAAAAUCUGUGCACCAAUUAUUUUUUGUCAUGUGCGCAUAAAUUUUGUUUAUUGUUGGUCGUGGCACUGAAUAAGCAUUGGCAAAUGAAAUCAGUCUUUUGAAAAUGCCUUUAAAUGCGAUAUGUCCUUUCUCAAUUUUUUUUAUUUACAUUUAUUUGUCAUUGUGAACAACACACGACAGAUGCAGGUUGUGAUAUAGGUGCCACCACCUUUAGGCUUGAUGCAGAUAGUUGAAGUUGUUGACAGUUGUAUAGAAAUUUGUUACCUAACCACCAUGUUCUGCAAAUCUCAUACUUGAGGUUUGAUAAAAAUAUUCUGAGGUUGCUAUGUUAUAUAUCCCGCAGGGAUACAACACCAACCAAAUUUUGAUUCCAUGUGCCUGCCUUGUUUCAGCUAUCUGUUAUCGUUAUGCUUUCGUUUGUUUGAAAUGUACAUCUUUUGCACCAACCAAACUUAAACCCGGCCUCUAUUACCAGCAAUUGGUCCAUGCCUAUUUUAUGCCUGGUUCAGAGUGAUAGCUACUGAAGCCCUUUAGUUAUUAAGGCAUAUCUAGAAUCUCUUAUAUUGUUUGUUUUCAUUUUUUUGAAGGCUAUUAAUGGUUGGAACUGGCUGAUUUUUAUUUUACCUUGAUGAUCAACUUGGCAUGGGCUGCUACAUCUGGCAAAUCAAUUGCUUGACUUGGUUCCCCCAAUUCUGUGAUCUCUGCCGUUUCAAAACUUCUUGAUGCUUUUCCAUAUUGGCAUAUUGCCCAACAUCUCAUACAGACCAGCUUUUUUUAACGUUUAGAUCGAUGACUUCCUUCUAUUCAUUACAUGACAAUUGUAUUUCUUUGUUACAUAACAGUUAACCAAUUAUAUGUGUUCCUCCCUGCCUCCUGAUCAUAA